rnacentral:rRNA from 1 species
AUUUGCAUUGCUCUCAUGGCUCCUCGUCUUGACAGGUCUCGGAAGCUAAGCUGGAUAGAGCUUGGAUAGUACCUGGUUGGAACACUGCCUGGGAAUACCAGGUGUUGUAGGUU